CUACGGGAGAAAUUCACACACCGUUCCACGGUCCCUGUGAAAGGUCGAGGCCACUUGAAAGAAGAGCUGAAAGCUGGAAAGUUGAAAGCUGAAACCAAAGUGGCUUGCAAGUCCGCGAGGGCUUGCCACCUGAUACACUUAUCAAAAUUUAUUAUCCGCGCGUGUUCCUGAAAGGGCACGCAGCGUGCAAUUCAAUCUUUGACUCUUGCAACCACGCAUCAUGGGAAACGCACCUCGGCAGCGGCAACGGAGCCAUUCCGAGCCGUCCAAGCAAAGGGGGUUUAGCUCAGUUGGUAGAGCGUCUGCUUUGCAAGCAGAAUGUCAACGGUUCGAAUCCGUUAACCUCCACCAGCGCCUUCGGCGCGAUUUGAAAUCUCAAAUUUGAAAUUUCGAAUUGCGGGCCAACGGCACGCCACCGGGCCUGUAGCUCAGUUGGUUAGAGCACCGCCUUGAUAAGGCGGGGGUCAUAGGUUCGAGUCCUAUCAGGCCCACCAUUUUCCAAAAAGCAAGGUUGGUUCCACACACGCACACAAGAACGAAGUCCGCUCUUUGACAUCCAUAUGGAGAGAAAUAUGAUUUGAUUGACUGCAAGAAAUUGCAAAGCGGAGAAAUCCGCAAAGCAGGGGUAACACCCUGUGAGCUGUUCUUACGGUCCUUGAAUAUAUUCUGAUUCCCAAAUACAAUAUUUUUUACGGCAAAUACCCGGUGGCAACACCGGCAAGUAGGCCGGCAGCAAUGCCGGCAAAGCGUGGAAACUGCUGGAAAAAAAAUCAACGAUCCACGAUCCGCGAUCCAUUAUCCAACAAGUCUGCGUGGCUGAUUUCAAACAUGG
rnacentral:misc_RNA from 1 species